UUCAAAACAUGUCACAAGUACUAUUUCAGUUAAUGUUGAUUUGUUAAUUUAUAUAACAAGCUGUUAGGAAUGCUCGUAUAUUUGUAUCUGAUGCUAAAAAUUUUUAGUCUUGUCUAAUGGUUCCAAGCUGAACUAUUUAGAUUUUAGAGCUAUGCUUUGUCCUGUUGUAUCCACUAGAAGGGCCCACGCAAUCACAAUGUCUAUGACUGGCUUUAUUGUGAGGCCCAGUGAACACUAGUCCUAUGCCACAAUGCUUGUGAGCCCAUGCGAUCAUGCGAGCGAGUAGGAUUUGACACCAUUGUAAGACAUGAACUCACCCAAUAGGCUAACCAAAGGUUGUCAUUUAAGUUAAUUUCUCCUACUUAUAUACCGAAGACCCCCAUGUGGAGUUCUAAUGUGGUACGCAACAUGUGCUAUCACAAGCCGUGGUCAUUACAAAAGGAUUGAUGCUCCUAGCAAAUUGUAUUAUUUGAGACAAGUUAGAUUUUGAUACAGCUAGCAACGUAUAGGGUCAAAACAGGGUAAUGUUCUUUUUACAUUUUAUGAUACUUGAAUGGUGAAGCUUGGAUUGUUGUUUAACUUUUUCUGAUCUUGUAAUGCGUUUUCAUCACUUUGUUGGUACCUAAAUAAGGAUUUCUUACUUGAUUACUAAUUUUUUUUUGGGUUCAAGAACUUCAAAACUUGAAUAAGUUUAUAAAAGUUAUCUGUAUGGAUAUGCAUUUAAAUACAUUUAUCACUAUUUUUCCAAUGAUCUUAACCUAUUAUCCUAGGAUUUUCCAUACCGUUGCGUGUAUGUCAUAUCAUAUAUUUAUCUUGUAUUUAUCUGUGUGCUUUAUUGUUAUUCUUGGUUCACUCAUUGGUCCUAUAGUUUUUGAGUGGUGCUACAUGCACCAAUUAGUAUAUUAACUAGUGUAUCAAUACUAGUUAUGACAUUAUUAUUGAUCUCACUCAUUAUACAAAUUACAAAUAUCAAAGACAUCUUAAAUUAUGCCACCUCAUCAAUUGGUACACUAGUUAGUGCACUAAUUGGUGCAUAUAGCAUUAGUCAUAGUUUUUGCAUGAUCAAACAAAUCUCACUUGACUUAUGGUGCUACCUCUCUCCAGAUUUAGAGUAUGUUUAAGAGCAUAAUUAAAUGCUUAAAACUGAAUGCAUUUAAUGUUUGCACAAUUGCGUUUGAUAAUGCAUAAUCACUUACCACUUAAAUAUGAAAAUUCACUGAAAAUGAGUCUUAAUUUUAAGCUGGAUAGACGUGACUUGUUGUCACCCAGUCAUGAAUAUGCUACGUAGAAGGUAGCUUUCCUUUUCAUUCUCAGCUAACAUAUUAACUUCAACGUGCAGUUCAGUGAAGCAUUUAUUGCCCCUACUAUUGUCAAGGUGAUCUUUCAAUUAGCUUUGAGAUAGUUGAAGACAACCAUUCCAAUUUGAAGUAGUGAUCAAUUUUUUUUUAGCCUACAAUUAGGUUGUUGGGCCAGACCCUUGUAAACUUUUGUUGGGCUUUUGGCUAAGGACCUGUACGAGGACUAGAGCACAACUGUCCUGAGAUAAAAAGAGGGUGCUGGCUGUUUGCUUGAGUGGUUUCCCCUGCCACUCCAACAGUUGAGGUGCUGGGUUUUACGUCUUGGUUGGAAAACAGUUUUGUCUACUAACAACAACCAGCACCGCAAGAAGUAAGAAAGGAAAACAAAACCAACUUAUAUAUAUAAAAAAAAAGGAAAAAAAAAUAUAAUAAUAAAUUUAAAAGAGGGACUAAAAGUCUAG